GACGAACCGAGCGAACGUUGUUCGGAAUUACUGGGCGUAAAGGGCGCGUAGGCGGUCUGCUAAGUUGGAUGUGAAAACUCUGGGCUUAACCCAGAGCCUGCAUUCAAUACUGACUGCUAGAGUUCUGGAGGGGAUAGCGGAAUUCCUGGUGUAGCGGUGAAAUGCGUAGAUAUCUGGAGGAACACCGGUGGCGAAGGCGGCAUCCUGGACCAACACUGACGCUGAGUGAGCGAAAGCCAGGGGAGCAAACGGG
rnacentral:rRNA from 1 species